AUGGAAUAUUGAAUGAGGCUUGGAGGUAUAUUGUUAUAAAGCAGUUCAUACAGUGAGGAGGCAGUUGGUGUUUUGUUCUUCACAGAGAUUCCUUAGAGUGAUCAGGACUUGGUUAAAAGUGGUUACCUUAUAUCAAUUUUGGAGAAGAGGUUGAGUCUCGCGUAUGAUUUUUGCAGGCAGAUUAACAAGAAGUGACCCAAGUCAAGUUCCACUUAUUUUGCAAAGCUAAAUUAAUGUCUGUUUGCAUGACUUAACUGGUUUGUUUGCUCAGGGAAUUUUCAGGUCUGACUUCCAGUUGUGUUUGACUUUAACAAUUCCCCGCCUUGGGGGAAUUCCUUUUCCUCAGAGAUCAGAGAACGUCCCCCAGGUGAGCGCACCCACACCACACUGUAGGGCUCCCUUCCAUUCUGACCUCCUGGGGGCGUCUAAUGAACGAUUUCGGAAAACGCUGCUCCCUGGCCCUCAGGUAAGGGUUGAAACAGAAAGGAAAAAGGAGACGCUAUGCAUCGGAAAGAAGAGUGCCGUGUUUCGGAUUCGAAGCGACGUUGCUACGGCCACAACGCAGAGUAUUAACCACUAUACGAUCACGGCGCACCACGACCUGAGAGGCGGCGUGCUCCCUUGUGCACUGCGUGUUCCAAGAAAGUCAUUGCAACGGACUGCGCUGCUUUCUUCUCGGACAACCACAGGCAUUCGUAUUCUUGUCUCUUUCAUGCUCGCUCUCCAUUUUUUCCUGCCUUCCUCUCAACUCUAAUACACAUCUUAAAAAUAUUAAAAAUCGCCAUCUCCUCAGGGUCCAGCCCGUGCCUCUAGGAAGGCCCGCGGGGAGGUCUCAUGGUUCUCGUCCACGCCACUUUUUGACCCCCUUCCACUCCCACCCCUGCCCUCGUUCCGGCUCCGGCCCCAGCGGCCGCGGCCGAGGGGAGCGAAGGGAGCGCCAGGGGCUCAAGCGGCCGAGGGAAGGAGGAGCCAAGGGGAGCGCCCUCACAGGAGCCCUCCAAGCGGGCUGCUUUCCUCGGGCUCCCCUCGCCUUAGGACCGGGGCGCUGGCGUCCCAGGGCGCUACAUCCCAGGGGUAGUUUCCACUCUGCGCCUUCUCUCAAUGGAAAGGGCAAGAGAGAUCUACACCAUCACUGCCACGCCUGUCUUCUGUGUCUUGUGCACAACUGCAGGACCUAAGCCGCAGUCAGAAGAUCACUUACGGAUUCUCGCGCAAGAACUAUGGAGGACAGCAGCCACAUCGGCAAGUGGGGGAAGGGCAUAGCCAGAAGCAGGAGCGGUGUUUCCACACAUCUUCAAGGUCUCCCUAUUUUCAGAGUGAGGAGUCUUGGCUCGUCUUCAAGGACAAGAUAUGUUUAUGUGGACAGAUAACUUCCAAGGACU